GGAGGCCUAUAAAACUGACGGAGAGAUUUUUUCAUUGGCCAAUUUUAACUUGAUAUUUUCCAACACAAAACAUAUUAAACUAAACAAAAAUAAAGUGAAAUAACUUGCAAUAACAAAGAAAGAUAACAACAUAACACUAUAAAGAUAAUAGCCACAUAACGACCAAAGUAACACAGAAAAUCCUUGAAGAUACAUGUAAUCAACUUUAAUAAAUUAAGAGCAGCCACAUCCAAAUACUAUAAAGCGACUACAAACAAGUGAGUGAAUAAAUAAUAAAAUAGGAUAAAGAAAAUGAAACUCAACUUAAAGAAAAAUACCAACACAGUAGGUAUACUAAAUGAACAUCACUUUAAAAAAAAUGGAGCUUUGCAAAACUAUUAACAAGUCAUGAAUAAAUAUCUAAAAUUGAUGAAAAUAAAGAAUUAAUAAUUAUUAUUCCACAAUAAAAAGACUAUAUAAAAUAAAAUCAAUGAAUCAGCCAAAAUGAAAUAUAAGACAAUCAAAGUUAUUAAGAAAAAAUCAAAUAAGAACAACCCACUCAAUAUUAAAUCAAUAACAAAAUGUAGUGAAUAAGGUUAUUUAAUAAACAAAAAUAUAGGCACAAAUAUUAAUUAAAUAAAGGUAAUGAAUAGAAGAGGGUCACCGGAAGUAAGCUUUCCCGGCUGAGUUUGAAAUGGGUUUCGUUGGAGUUUCUGAACCGUCUAGUUGGAGCUCUUGUUUGUCGGUAGUUUAGAGCUUGGAUCUCGCAGUGAUGACAUCACGAUUGUUUCAUUCGCCUGAGCUUCGUUUUCCGGAAUUUGGAGUAGUUUGCUGGUAACACUUUGCGAGCUUUGGAGCUCGUCGGCCUUGGAGUUUUCACCGGAAACGAUGAGAAAAAUAAAGGGGAUUUUGGUCGGAAAUGGGUUCAGUUGGCUGUGGAGCAUGAAGCUCGCUGGAGAUGUGGAAAAAUGGAGGAAAAAAUCGGGAAAGGAAAGAGGGAGAGGGAAGCAGCGAGCUUCGGUGGUCGGAGUUGUGGUCUGGUUGUUUAGAUGUGGUUGAACGUCUGUUUGGUUGCUGGUUGUUGAGAUCGAAUAACAUGGUGAACGGAGGUGGUUUGGGUGGCCGUUUCUGGUCGUUUUCUGCCGGAAAAAGUAAGGAAAAUGGUGGUCGUUUGGUGGCUGUUUUCGGCUGGUGGUUGGUUGUUCGCUUGAGUCGCUUGGUUGCUAGAAAAAUGAGCAAAAUGAAGAGAGGUAUUUGGUUGUUGUUGCACCAAUGGUGGAAAUGGGGUUUUGGGUGGUGGCGGCUAAGGAAGGAAAAUGGGAGAGGAAAAAUUAGGGUUUUUUUUUCCCUUUAGGAAAUUUUUUCCUCCUAAAAUAUAAUUUACCACCCUUGACCUAAUGAAUAAACCAUUGUUUAUAUAGAAAAUAAAAAUUACCUAUAGUACAGUACCAUUCUUUUAAAAUCGUGCGCCAAAAUCAUUAGCCUUUAAAAAUAUUUUGUGCAUGAAAUCUUAUCUAUAUUCGAAUGAUUUCUAGAUUGUGCAAAAUAUCAAAAUUAAUAUUAACAAAUAUAACAAAUAAAAUUAUUAUUAAAAAGUAUAAUAAAUGUAGUUAAUGACAUGUAAAAAAUGCAAUUUAUCAGAAUUAAUGAUUUAAUCGAAAUGAAUAAAUAUUUGAACGUACUCAACUGGUUGUGACAAAAAAUAAUGUAACUAAAAUUAACUGAUAAAAAAAAUCCUAAAAUUUGACAAAUAAUGAUAGUUAUCGAUAAACUUAUUUAAAAUUAUAAAGAAGUGUAUUUUGAACUAUUAAAUAAAUAAAACUUAAAAGUUACGAAUUUUAAAAAAUGUUAGGCCAAAAUUGGGUGUCAACAACUGUCCCUUUCGUUGGAUAUGAUUGAUGAAAGAAAUCAUGGACAAAGAAACUUGACAAACUCGAUUUUGACCGAACACAUGACCUUCAUAUAAAAGUGUCGUUGGAAUGUGGUGGAAGUCGAUCCCGGACUUGACUCUAAAAGUUCCACGCUAUGUAGCGUCCUUGUUGAAGUAGUCCGAACAUGUGGCUCAAUUGAGAAUGCAUCCUCUUGGAUGUUCUCGGAAAAACAAAUAUGAAACUCAUUAGUAGAGACAAAAUUAUAGAAAAAAAAGGUAGCAUCUCUUACGAUACAACAAAUGAAGAUGAUCCAUUGGUAGGAUAAAAAUGUAUGUCCAUCGGUAGGAUGAAUGAAGAUGAUGAUCCAUCGGUAAGAUUUUGAAUGUAUGUCCAUCGGUAGGACGAAUGAAAAAAGAUGAUCCAUCGGUAGGAUUUGGAUGUAUGUCCAUCGUUAGGACGAAUGAAAAAAGGUGAUCCAUCGGUAGGAUUUUGAAUGUAUGUCCAUCGGUAGGACGAAUGAAGAUGAUGAUCCAUCGAUAGGAUUUUGAAUGUAUGUCCAUCGGUAGGACAAAUAAAAGUUCUUUCAACGCAAGUCUCCUCUGACUUGAACGCAAAUAGAUAAGGUGCACAUCAUUUACCUCCGAAUAGAUGCGACUUAAAUGCAAAUAUCUUCUUGGCGAAUGAAAAUGCAAUGCAAAAUGCAAAUGAUGGAUGACUCGAUGAUUGUCCACUAAACUUGAAUGUUGAAUAGAUAGGGUGCGCAUCCUUCACCUCCGAAUAGAUGCGACUUAAAUGCAAAUAUCUUUCAACGCAAGUUUCCACUGACUUGAACGUUGAAUAGAUAUGGUGCGUAUCCUUCACCUCCGAAUAGAUGUGACUUAAAUAUAAAUAUCUUUCAACGCAAGUUUCCUUCGACUUGAACGUUGAAUAGAUAUGGUGCACAUCCUUCACCUNNNNNNNNNNNNNNNNNNNNNNNNNNNNNNNNNNNNNNNNNNNNNNNNNNNNNNNNNNNNNNNNNNNNNNNNNNNNNNNNNNNNNNNNNNNNNNNNNNNNNNNNNNNNNNNNNNNNNNNNNNNNNNNNNNNNNNNNNNNNNNNNNNNNNNNNNNNNNNNNNNNNNNNNNNNNNNNNNNNNNNNNNNNNNNNNNNNNNNNNNNNNNNNNNNNNNNNNNNNNNNNNNNNNNNNNNNNNNNNNNNNNNNNNNNNNNNNNNNNNNNNNNNNNNNNNNNNNNNNNNNNNNNNNNNNNNNNNNNNNNNNNNNNNNNNNNNNNNNNNNNGCAAAUGAAAAAUACAAUGACCCUCUUGGCAAAUGAAAAAUGCAAUGGCCUUCUUGGCAAAAUGAAAAAUGCAAUGGCCCUCUCAGCAAAUUAAAAAUGCAAUGGCCCACUUGGCAAAAUGAAAAAUGCAAUGGCCCUCUUGGCAAAUGAAAAAAUGCUAUGGCCCUUUUGGCAAAUGAAAAAUGCAAUGGCCCUCUUGGCAAAAUGAAAAAUGCAAUGACCCUCUCGGCAAUUGAAAAAUGCAAUGGCCCUCUUGGCAAAUGAAAAAAUACAAUGACCCUCUUGGCAAAUGAAAAAUGCAAUGGCCCUCUUGGCAAAAUGAAAAAUACAAUGACCCUCUUGGCAUCCCUCUCGGCAAAAAUGAAAAAUGCAAUGUCCCUCUCGGCAAAUGAAAAAUGAAAUGGCCCUCUUAGAAAAAAUGAAAAAUGCAAAUGAUGGACGACCCAAUGAUUUUCCACUGUAACGAGGUGGAUGACUCGAAUAUUGUCCAACUGUAAUGAGGUAGAUGACUCGAUGAUUGUCCAACUGUAAUGAGGCGGACGACUUGAUAAUUGUCCACUGUAACGAGGUAGAUGGCUCGAUGAUAAUGUUGAAGAUUUGCAAGUUGACUUUGAACUUCAAGCGAUGAUGAAUCAUUUGAAGUUGACUAUCAAGCUUCUGAUAGUACUCGUUGGAAUUUUUAAGGUCUUCCUCAAAAAAUCUGUCCCAGUUAGAACUUUUGGCAAAUCUCAAAAUGAUAUUGAAUAUUGACUUACUGGAGAUAGCAUCUUUAUUGUGAAUUUUUGAGAUAUUCUCAAAAAUUAUGUCCCAGUGUUUAUUUCAAGGAGAGAAAAUCACAUUGGGUACAUGACCGAGCCGUCGUGGCGCCUACAUAUCCUGUCGAGCCAAGAAUCAGGUCAAAUGUAGUUCCAAUCCUGUAGAUGAUAAAUACUGCAAAGAAUCUGAGACAAGAUCAUCAGUAGAAAAAUGUACAAUAUAAACAUGAUGAAAUAGGAAAAUGAUAUUCUUUGUCAUAUUCAAAGACUAAAGACAAAAGAUAUGUCACAUUAUUAUGAUGGACAACCCAAUGAAGUAAAAUAAACAUCUCACACUGACAUGAUUAACCUAAUGACACUUUUUACAAUGAACAACCCAAAAAGAAAAGGCAAUUUUUUUUAUUUUUUUUUUAGUCGAAAGAUUAUUAUUUUUUUUAAAAAUGUUUUGGAAAGUAUUAAAGAGACCCGCUUGCCUUUUUUUGUUUUUUUUUUGUUUUUGAAAUAUAAAUAAUAUAAAAAGACAGUCAAAUCUUGACUACAAUUUGUACCAUGAGUUAGGAUCGCAUGUAAAUUUCUGUUCUUCUUUUUUUCUUUUUUUUUCUUACUGAGAUUGAAUUCAAGAUAAUUCCUACAACUUCAAGUGAUACCUCAAACAUACUUAAGGAUUAACAAGAUUUGUUCAUCUUGAUUCAAACAAAGGUUUUGAAUUGUAUCAAUCGUCAUGUUUCAAGUGCCCUUACAAGAAAGAAAAGUCAUAUUUCACACAUAUUUGAAACGUUUUAUUUUAGGACAUUUUUCAAAGUGCACUCACACUCACAAGAAUGUUCAAUCCAUGUAACUGUGAUACCAUAUGUUUGGCCCUUAUGUAAAUAUCCACUAAUGUGAGAACAUUUGAAAUGAGAUCAUGUAGAGCUUGUCAUUGUCUUGUAAUGUAGGAUUAGGGACGGGUAGGAUAUUUAUUUGGAAUAAGAGUGACUUACUUCCAUCUUGAGCGUCACACUGAAUUUGUGCUUUUGACUAUUGAUACGCCUUUGAUGUAUGAUCUUCUUCCGUGUCCCUCUUUUUAUUACUACUUUUUUGAAUCCUUAUUCGUUGGAGCUUUUCAUUUUUUCACCCCUUCGUUUCGACUUCUUUUGAGUCCUUAUUUUUUGAAGCUUUUCUUUUAUUUCACCCCUUUCUUUUGAAUUUUUCUCCUCUUUUGUUGGAGUAUUUUCCUUUCCAUCUUUCAUUGACCUUGUAGGGGUGUUUUUUUUUCUUUAUUUCUUUUCACCUUUUUAUUUCUUUUUCUAGAAGUCGUUUUUUUUUUUUGCUUCCUUGACGUGGGAGACUUUGUCUCUUUCAACCUUUGGUGUCUUCAAAUUUGGAUCAUCUCUUAUAUUUUGCACAUCUUUGGUGCGCUCAAGAAGGUUGGGCCAAGAGAAGGAUAGUGCAUGUAAGCACUCAAAAGGGUAAUGGCUAAGAUGUGGUUGUCCAAAGAAAAGGCUUCAGGUUUAAAGUGGGGAAAACUAGGGAUUAAUGUCAUUUGGUAGGUUGGGCUUUGAAAGGCAUAAUCGGGUCAAAGAAGGCCUACAAUUCUUUCCCAAACCAAACAUAACUCAGGAUUUUGCCUCUAUAAACAUUCAAGCCAAGUUCUAGAUCAACAGUGCGAUUUAAUUGAAUUUUCACCACACAAUGCACAUGAAAUGAUGAGGUUGGUUUUAUUCUUAUCUUGAAUGCAUGCAAAAGAAUUUUCAAGCAUCACAAAAGUAGAAAUGAGAGGUACCAAAAGAGUCUAUAAUUUAUCACAAAGUCAGUCCCUUCCAUCAUACCAAAUAUAUUUACAUGAUUCUAACUGCAUUGGUCCCAACUGAGUUGAAGACUUGACUCUUACGAUAUACAUAAUUUUCUAUAUUUUUUUUGAAAGAAUGAAUACCAAACCCAUAAAGGGCUACUACAUAUCUCAUUGAUAUGAGAAUCAGGUGUGCGUACUUCAUGCAGAUAUGUUUUUGAAAAUAUGCACAAACUAUUUUUAUUUUUUUUAAAUUUAAAAUAAUGAAUACCGAACCCAAGAAGGGCUGCGUACAUAUCUCACCGAGAUGAGAAUCAGGUGUGUGUAGUUCAUGCAAAUAUGUUUUUGAAAAUAUGCACAAACUAUUUGUUUUUAAAAAAAAAAAUCUAAAAUAAUGAAUACCGAACCCAAGAAGGGCUGACUACGUAUCUUACCGAGAUGAGAAUCAGGUUCACUUAGUUCGUUAGAUAUCGUUUUGAAAAUAGGCACAAACUUUUUGAAUCUUUUUUCUUUUCUUUUUUUAAUUUAAAAGAACUAAUACCGAACCGAAGAAGGGCUGCCUACGUAUCUCACCGAGAUAAGAAUUAAGUUCGCGUAGUUCGUUCAGAUAUGACAUAAAACAAUUCAAAAACCUAGACAAACUUAGAGUAAUGACUCGUAAUUAUAGUGCCGCUGACAUCUUUAGUCAGAGAGAGCAUCAUGACUGUUUGCACCAAUAUGUUUUGCAUCCUCUUAACUGUCCAUUUUUAUACUAUUUGUUGAACGAGGUCUCCGAAUUCCGACAGUAACCACUUGUUGUUAUAUUCUUUUAUGAAUGUCUCUUGGAAUUGUGUGUUCUCUCAAUUAUCUACGAGAACCACACAUUAUUAUGACCAUCCCCGACUGUUGCCGGGGACGGUUUUCCUGCAAAAAUAUAUGAAAUGUGUGAAAGCAAGACCAACAUGCAAAAUAACAAAAAAUAAAUGAGUGACUUAUAGUCAAAGACUCCCCUGAUUUAUCUUAUUGAUUGGGUAUUAAAUGUCUUGUGAAAUACAAAUUAGCUUUUGUGAGUCCCGUGUCUAUUAUCUCCCCGAACGAGCUAUAACCUUCAACCUUUCAAAAAACAACUCGAAAGGUAAAGGUGACUUGAUAUUUAUGACUAUGAAGCUCUAAAAAAACACUUUGAAAUAAUAGACUAUCAUACAACAUAUUCACGUAAACUAGGUAUAUCACAUAAUGCACAAGCAAUGCAUGCAUGUCUUAUACAAAUGUGUCUCAAAUGUUGUGGCAUCUCAAGCAAAUGCGCUAAAUUCAAGGUUUUGACUUCGCUCUACACUAGAUGACUGGGAUUGGUUUAGACAAGACUUGGUUACCCGAGUUGGACAAACUACGGGGUAAAGUAUAAUAAAUGACGUUAAAUGACCACAAGUCAACUAUUCGUUUAUUACUUCAAAAGAAUUCAAAGGUGCUUUUCUGAAGAACAGUCGUGGAAACCCACGUAACCGUCUUUGUCCUAAUGCUUUCUCUUUACCAUUUGGCGGAAAUUAUGCCAUGAAAUGUGAUGACAAUAUACAUACAGUUAAAUGAAUAACAUCAAGUACAAUAUACAAAUAAUCAACAAAGCAUACCAAAUACAAUGUAUAACACAAUAAAAGAAAAUACUCUUCAAUUUGAAAAAAAGAACUCAUAAUGGUUAAAACCUCUAUCUACCAGCGGAGUCGCCAUUUUGUUUACAUUCCUACUCUAUUCAAAUAGGUCGAAACGUCGCGAUUACUCAAAAAAUAAUCAAUUGAUUCAAUUUUAAAAUAAUUUUAAGAAUAAACGAAUUUUAAAAAAGUCGCCUCCGAAUUUUAAGAAAAAAUUAGGAAACCAUUAAGUGAUCUACGAAACCAUUAGAUUCUAAAUAAGGGGUUCAAGCUAUUUCGAAGGAAAGGGGUUAGACAUUCUUCAAAAUCCACAAAUGUGGAUCCCGAUUGAAUUCAUUUUUUUUCAAAUUUAGGAGGAGGAUACAAUAAUGUACAAGUAUAAGAAACAUGUAAUAUAUACAAGUAAUAUAAUAAAACAAUAAUAUAGGAAUCGGCCUAAAUUUGUCUAUCGUCAAUAAUAUACAUUAAUAAAUAAGAGUAUAAUUCGAACCUAAUUUGAAUAGCUUCAAUGGGAAGCACCUCCGGAUACCUGUAAAGACACUUAGUAAAAAGUGUUAGUAAUAAAUUAACAUGAAUAAAAAUAAAUGAAUCAAAGAAUAACUUAAAAAUAAAAACCAAGUCUUAUUAACAUGGAUGGCCUUGAAAAUCGAUGGUAAUUUCUUCAUCGGCCAAUUUUAACAAACAAAAUAUAUAAACUUAAACUAAAUUUUCCUCUUUAAUAUUAGGGAGGCAACUAAAACCGACUUAGAAAUUUUUUCAUUGGUCAAUUUUAACUUGAUAUUUUCCAAUACAAAACAUAUUAAACUAAACAAAAAUAAAGUGAAAUAACUUGCAAUAACAUAGAAAGAUAACAACAUAACACUAUAAAGAUAAUAGCCACAUAACGACCAAAGUAACACAGAAAAUCCUUGAAGAUACAUGUAAUCAACUUUAAUAAAUUAAGAGCAGCCACAUCCAAAUACUAUAAAGCGACUACAAACAAGUGAGUGAAUAAAAUAAUGGGCGAAAUGGUCUGAUGGACCCUUAUACUUGUAUGUGUUUGUAUUCUAGGCCCUUUUACUUAACUAUUUGUCAACUGAACCCCUACACCCAUUGAAACUUGAUAUUUUGAACCCCUUUUUUGACCUGUCAUCCUAUGUGAUAUUUUUAUCUAAAGUGUGUGUGAUACACAUAUUUUACGCGCGUGAGGCCUUCGAAAAAGACAAGAAAUGACAAUUUUUGACCUAAUCAAGAGUCAUCUUCUUCUCCAUUUAUGCAUUCACCAUUGUUGAACAAAAAGUAACUUUUUUUUUUACUUUUCUACUCUUCAAAUCUUUCUGUCAUUUUUUUCCCUCCAUUUUGUUUUGGUUGCUGCGUGUUGUCUUCCAUCUUCUUCAAAGAGCUCAUCAUUUCUUAUGCAAAUUUAUUCUUUAUCACUUUACGAAAGGGUCUUUACAAAUAUAAAAAAAUGAAUGAACUUAUCGAUCUUACUCUUCAACAAGUAAUAGUGUAUCCUCCAACCUACUCAACAUCGCCAAAGCCAAACAAUAUCAAUCAUUCCAAUUUCUGUAAAUCUUCACAUGACAAGAACAUAUCCCUCGUCUCAAGAACAUAGUCUUCAUCUUUGAGUGGUAGCUCCAACACCACACUGCGGAGGCGACAAAUGUCUUACUGAUGCUGCAUUUUACUUGUGAGAGCGUUGGAAUGAGAGAAGAGAAAGGAGAGAAAUUGAGGAAAAAAUUGGAAGAAAGAGAAAAUGAUUUCUCAAAUAAAAUUUAGGGAGUUUAAUUUAAUUUUUCCAUUUUAUUUCCUUUGUGGCAAUUAAAAAUGACGUGGAAUUUGAGGUGUAGUGGUUGUAUUACACGCACCAUUGACCUUAUGAAAAAGGGGUUCAAAAUAUCAAGUUUCAAUGGAUUUAGGGGUUCAGUUGACAAAGGGUUAAGUAAAAGGGACCAGAAUACAAACUCAUACAAGUAGAAGAGUCCAUCAGACCAUUUCGCCUAAAUAAUAAAAUAGGAUAAAGAAAAUGAAUCUCAACUUAAAGAAAAAUACCAACACAGUAGGUAUACUAAAUGAACACCACUUUAAAAAAAAUGGAGCUUUGCAAAACUAUUAACAAGUCAUGAAUAAAUAUCUAAAAUCGAUGAAAAUAAAGAAUUAAUAAUUAUUAUUCCACAAUAAAAAGACUAUAUAAAAUAAAAUCAAUGAAUCAGCCAAAAUGAAAUAUAGGACAAUCAAACUUAUUUAGAAAAAACCAAAUAAGAACAGCCCACUCAAUAUUAAAUCAAUAACAAAAUGUAGUGAAUAAGGUUAUUUAAUAAACAAAAAUAUAGGCACAAAUAUUAAUUAAAUAAAGGUAAUGAAGAGGGUCAUCGGAAGUAAGCUUUCCCGACCAGAUUUGAAAUGGGUUUCGUUGGAGUUUCUAAACCGUCUAGUUGGAGCUCUUGUUUGUCGGUGGUUUAGAGCUUAGAGCUCGCAAUGAUAACAUCACGGUUGUUCCGUUCGCCUGAGCUUCGCUUGCCGGAGUUUGAAGUAGUUUGUUGGUAACACUUUGCGAGCUUGCGAGCUUUGGAGCUCGCCGGCGUUGGAGUUUCCACCGGAAAUGAUGAGGAAAAUAAAGGGGGUUUUGGUCGAAAAUGAGUUCAGUUGGCUGUGGAGCUUGAAGC
rnacentral:lncRNA from 1 species